rnacentral:sRNA from 1 species
GUAGAUUGGGGGUGAUUUUCUAGUUUUAGGACUUGGCCACAGUCUGGGCUGAAUCCCAGAAGGGGUUUAGGGACUAGGGCUCCUCUUUGGAAACUUCUAACCGAGCCGUCUAGCCACGCCCCUUGUGUUCCCUGCCACCAGAUUUAUAAAUAACCGCACCUAUUUCUUAUGAAGGCCAAUAGUGCAGUUUGACAGUCCAGAGUGGGAGAGGACUCCAGGCUCAGCCAAGGAGCUCCGGAGACCUCCACCCAGAAGCCCCCAGCCUGCAGAGCGUGUGGACCCAGGCCUGCCCCUGGAGAAACAGCCGUGGUUUCAUGGCCCCCUGAACAGGGCGGAUGCGGAGAGCCUCCUGUCCCUCUGCAAGGAAGGCAGCUACCU